AGCGAACGCUGGCGGCAGGCCUAACACAUGCAAGUCGAGCGCCGUAGCAAUACGGAGCGGCAGACGGGAGAGUAACACGUGGGAACGUGCCCUUCAGUUCGGAACAACCCAGGGAAACUUGGGCUAAUACCGGAUACGUCCGUAAGGAGAAAGAUUUAUCGCCGAAGGAUCGGCCCGCGUCUGAUUAGCUUGUUGGUGAGGUAACGGCUCACCAAGGCGACGAUCAGUAGCUGGUCUGAGGGGAUGAACAGCCACUCUGGGGCUGAGACACGUGCCAGACUCCUACGGGAGGCAGCAGUGGGGGAUAUUGGAAAAUGGGCGCAAGCCUGAUCCAGCCAUGCCGCGUAGAGGAUGAAGGCCCUGGGGUUGUAAAGUCCUUUCGGCGGGGAAGAUAAUGACGGUACCCGCAGAAGAAGCCCCGGCUAACUUCGUGCCAGCCGCCGCCGUAACAC
rnacentral:rRNA from 1 species